CCUACGGGAGGCUGCAGUGGGGAAUAUUGGACAAUGGGGGCAACCCUGAUCCAGCCAUGCCGCGUGUGUGAAGAAGGCCCUCGGGUUGUAAAGCACUUUCAGUGAGGAAGAACGCCUGGUGGUUAAUACCCAUCAGGAAAGACAUCACUCACAGAAGAAGCACCGGCUAACUCCGUGCCAGCAGCCGCGGUAAUACGGAGGGUGCGAGCGUUAAUCGGAAUUACUGGGCAUAAAGCGCGCGUAGGUGGCUUGAUAAGCCGGUUGUGAAAGCCCCGGGCUCAACCUGGGAACGGCAUCCGGAACUGUCAAGCUAGAGUGCAGGAGAGGAAGGUAGAAUUCCCGGUGUAGCGGUGAAAUGCGUAGAGAUCGGGAGGAAUACCAGUGGCGAAGGCGGCCUUCUGGACUGACACUGACACUGAGGUGCGAAAGCGUGGGUAGCAAACAGGAUUAGAUACCCCAGUAGUC
rnacentral:rRNA from 1 species